GGUUAUUAUUGUUCAGAUGAUUCAGCUAAGCUAGCUAAGAGCUGCAACAGUCAACUUUCUGAGCUGUAAAUAGAGAUGAGAGUGCUUAUGUGUUGAUCCUUAAUGGUGUGAUCAUGUACACUAAAUGAUCAAUUAUUCUCCAUUACAGGUUGUUGUGAUAUAUUUGAGGAGUCGUUCUCCCUCUGUUUUAUAUGUGGACAUUUGGGACCACUGUUAGAAUUUGGUUGACCACUUGACAUGUGAGAGCCUGAGGAGUUGUUCACCCUCUGUCCAUGUUCGAGGACUUGCUCUCUGUCUGCCUCCACUCUCUGCCUUCACUGUACCAAAGUUUGUCUGUUGAGUCUCCUCUAGUCUGGUUGACCACUUGACAUGUGAGAGCCUGAGGAGUUGUUUUCCAGACACAGGUAGAGC